AUGCCCGGUCCCCUGCUACUAGCGCACCAACCCCGGUUCCCACUGGCGCUCCGAUCCCGACGCCGCCUGUGGCCCCACUCGUGUCAUGUGGGGCCACCACCUCCUCGCCCCGCGACGCGACCGCACCAUGCAGCGCCCCUUCGGCUGCCCUGGACGGGUUCUCGUCCCUGGUCCAGACGCCCACCGCUCCACUCCUACCCGCCCCCACCCGCGCCACCGGAAUGUGGUGCCUCCCAACUUCACCCCCCCGGCGCAGCCAUCGGCUCGCGUGUUCCGACAGAGGCCUUGAUUCCGAGUCCAAGGCACGGCGUGUUCUCCUCCGUCGCCUCGGCCUUCUUAACGACGACCAACCUCUUUCCGCAGAGAUUCUUGCUAAAUACUCCAGGAUUUUUGAGGAGCCGCUCGCGGCCCAGACUGUGCAGGCGCUCGCCGAAUUCUACAGUUGGAACGUGCCCUCUAGCUUCUCCCUCGGGUCCGCGACGCCAGCCAUCUCGCCUUGCCGGCUCAUCGCCGCCUAGCCUAGACGCGCCGCUUGUACUACGUCUUGCUUGGUUUUUCCUGGAUAGUAGUCUCCGUAUUAUUUUCUGGAACACGUGCGGCCUAAACUGUCCGGCGAAGCGUAGCGCCGUCCGUUCGGUCAUUUGCACCGUUCGCCCGUUUGUGGUCUGUUUGCAAGAAACUAAGCUCUCUGAUGUUUCCCCCUACUUGGUUGCCGACUCCCUUGGGCAUGAGUUCUCCAGCUUCUACCACCUUCCCGCUGACGGCACGCGUGGUGGCAUCAUCCUCGCAUGGCGCCCCUCUGAGAUCUCCCUUACCAACCCC
rnacentral:rRNA from 1 species